CCGGCGACCGGCGCACGGGUGAGUAACACGUAUGCAACCUGCCCUCCGCAGGGGGAUAACCCGGAGAAAUCCGGACUAAUACCGCGUGGUACACCAGUGGGGCAUCCCACUGGUGUUAAAAGGAAGUGAUUCCGGCGGAGGAUGGGCAUGCGGCGCAUUAGCUUGUUGGCGGGGUAACGGCCCACCAAGGCAACGAUGCGUAGGGGUUCUGAGAGGAAGGUCCCCCACACUGGUACUGAGACACGGACCAGACUCCUACGGGAGGCAGCAG
rnacentral:rRNA from 1 species